GUGCACGCUGGCGGUAGGCCUAACACAUGCCAGUCGAACGGCAGCACAGGAGAGCUUGCUCUCUAGGUGGCGAGUGGCGGCCGGGUGAGGAAUACAUCGGAAUCUGCCCAGUCGUGGGGGAUAACGUAGGGAAACUUACGCUAAUACCGCAUACGACCUUCGGGUGAAAGAGGGGGAUCGCAAGACCUCUCGCGAUUGGAUGAGCCGAUGUCGGAUUAGCUAGUUAGCGGGGUAAUGGCCCACCAAGGCGACGAUCCGUAGCUGGUCUGAGAGGAUGAUCAGCCACACUGGAACUGAGACACGGUCCAGACUCCUACGGGAGGCAGCAGUGGGGAAUAUUGGACAAUGGGCGCAAGCCUGAUCCAGCCAUACCGCGUGGGUGAAGAAGGCCUUCGGGUUGUAAAGCCCUUUUGUUGGGAAAGAAAUCUUUCAGGCUAAUACCCUGGGAGGAUGACGGUACCCAAAGAAUAAGCACCGGCUAACUUCGUG
rnacentral:rRNA from 1 species